rnacentral:lncRNA from 1 species
CUCACAGGGAUUCUUAAACUUCUGUUAUGGACAGACCUCUUCGGGGAUCUGGUGAAAGCGAUGGAGUCUUUCUCCGAAUCAUAUUUGUAAAUGAAUAAAAUAAAAUGCCCAGGAUUACCGAGGAAACCAAUAACCUUGAAAUACAGUCCUCGCGACCUUAAAAACCCAAGCACAUACGAGUUCAUGGACCCCAGAACUCCUGAGGUUUUAAGUCAAUCUUCUCAUUUUACAAAUGAAGAAACUGAGUCACGGAGCAGCGAGGUGGUUGGCCUGAGAUCACAGUUCUAGGUAUGCUGGUAUGUUUCUACACCACCUCAGAAUCUAAGCAGCCAAAGGCACACCAAGUUCCUCAGAAGACUUCUCAUUCUAUAAGAUGCAUCUCUCUCGCCUUGAAACAUUCCUUCAGCGUUGUGGUCCUCUCUUCUAAUUGUGUGAAUUUUCCUCCAAAUAAUAGACUGCAUCUCAAGGUACCAUGGAGAAUGCGCCUCUCAAGCCACACCAAGGAUGGAAAGUUUUGCUUUAGUAAACAUUGUCUAAAUGCUGACUACUGAAUUUCUCUAACAUCAGAACAAUUACGCUGACGAUUCUGGUAUGGUGUAGCUUGUUCAAGAGCACAUUUGGAUAAAUAUCUCUGUCUCGUUGACAGUGUCUCCAUAGGAAAGUAUGAGAGAGAGGGAAAUUUAUAAUUAUUUGGUGAACUCAAUCAGCUGAUCUGGAAUAUUUAUCCUAACAAAUUCCAUCCUCACCCUCCCCUGACUACGUACACACACACACACACACACACACACACACACACACACACACACACACACACACACACACACACACACAGGGCCUUUCCUUCUCAAUAGUUAAUGCUAAUACUUGAAUUUUCUCUAGAAAAUUGCUUUAUAUAAUUUGACCAUGUAGACGGCUUCUGAAUAUUAACCCUAGAUGGUAACUUGGUCAUAAGAACAACCCAAAACCACAAUACCACAGAACUAGUAAUUUUUAUGUAAGGUGAGUGCUGCCUCUAAAAGUUCUGUAUGUCCAAAAAAUCUUCUAAAUCUGGUUCAAGGAAAGGCAUGGAUAAUCUCUGGAGUCUUGCCUACCUUUUGUCUGCAAGGUUGAUUUUUAUUCUUGCCUAGAGGGAAGCAAGAGAGACUGGCUACUCUGUUCUCUGAGAGGUGGCACCAUAUUGGAAUUUUAUUUAUCAGCUCACUUAAGUACUUCUUGUCCAGGGGCACUAUUUUGAGUUCAAGCUGUUUUCUUGACUACUGUCUCUUAAAUGGAGAAGACAUCACAAGUUCACACCAAAUGCUAGUUUUACAAAAGACCAUCAUCAAAAAUGAGUAUGGAGGAAAUCCUUUUUAUUCAGGCAGAUAGCAAGCAGAAACUGGAAAAAUUCUACAGAUACCAAGAUGGAAGAAUACCAAAGAGUAAAUUAGCUUUUUAGAUGGGAAAUCUUGGGGUUCUAGAGACAUUUUGCUUCACCAAGAGAAAGGCCCUAAUUUCACCCAAAGGGAAAUUCCUUCAAAUCUCUAGGGAAACAAUCAGGAAAUCAGGAGUGCUUUCCAAUAUCUAUCUGUUUUUCUCUGUAAUUAAAAAAGAUGUCUCUCCUUUUCAAAGCUCUCAUGUAAAUGUGACCCUUCACAAAGGCACAUAGUAUUGAAUCACUUUCCAUCAGUUAGGAGAAUAUUAAACAAAAUGUUCCAGGCUUAACACCCUGGUUAUACUUAUUUACCUGGAGUAUCACCAAGAAUAAAUCAACAAGCAGAAACCA